rnacentral:rRNA from 1 species
AUUGAACGCUGGCGGCAGGCUUAACACAUGCAAGUCGACCGAGUGGCGGACGGGUGAGUAAUGCUUGGGAAUCUGGCUUAUGGAGGGGGAUAACUACGGGAAACUGUAGCUAAUACCGCGUACCAUAGGAUGAGCCCAAGGGGGAUUCGUUAGUUGGUGGGGUAAAGGCUCACCUAGCCGACGAUCGCUAGCUGGUCUGAGAGGAUGACCAUCCACACUGGGACUGAGACACGGCCCAGACUCCUCCGGGAGGCAGCAGGGGGUAAUAUUGCGCAAUGGGGGCAACCUGACGCAGCCAUGCCGCGUGAAUGAAGAAGGCCUGCGGGUUGUAAAGUUCUUUCGGUAGCGCGGCGUUACCUACAGAAGAAGCACCGGCUAACUCCGUGCCAGCAGCCGCGGUAAUUC